CGUAUCUCAAACCCCGUUGCACACCGUUUCCAGGAAACGUCGUUCAAACCGAAAACCGUAGCAAAACGGUGCGCACAGGUUUGAGCUUGAACUUACCCCACAACACAACACAAGAGGUUCGAUCAGGACUGCAACAAGAUGUCUCAGUAUCACAGACUCUCAGACGCCAGUGCUGACAGCGGUGCCUCGAAUCACAGCAUGAACGUUUCUGCUGGAGUGAUCAAAGUGCUAAAAGAACAUGGAUACACCAUCGAGGAAGAACUUGGCCGAGGGGCUUCAGGAAUAGCGUUUCUGGUGAAAGACACAGAUGGAGACCCUUAUGUGGUCAAACAGAUGAAUUCCAGAGAUGUAAGCGUUUACCAAAUCUUACUCAAGUAUUUGACCAUAGAAGUGACA
rnacentral:lncRNA from 1 species